rnacentral:rRNA from 1 species
AUGGAACAAUACGUCCGCCUCUGGGAGCUCUUGUCGGAUAUCCAGCUUCAACCUGACACUGAGGACUCCAUUACCUGGUCCUUGACCCCUAAUGGGUGCUACUCGGCCACCUCCGCCUACAAGGUCCAGUUCCUUGCCUUUUUGCCCUGCCAGUUCGGGAACAUCGUGUGGAAGACCUGGGCCCCUCCAAAGUGUCGUUUCUUCGCCUGGCUCGCUGUCCAGAACCGUUUAUGGAUCGCCGAUCGCUUGGCGAAACGCGGAUGGCCGCACCAACCUACUUGUCAGCUCUGCCGUACCUCCCUUGAGAUGGCACGGCACAUUCUUUUCGAGUGCCGCUUCUCCAGACGUAUCUGGACGGCCGCGGCCUCUUGGCUGUCUUGUCCAGACCUCAUCAGCAGCAUCGGGGAGGGUAGGCCUAAAGUCGUGGACUAUUGGUUGGCCGUUUCGAAGUCCACCACCUCCUCCCCAAAUGGCUUGCGCUCAGCUAUCACGCUCAUCACUUGGGAGAUCUGGAAAGAGAGGAACGAACGAGUUUUCAACAACAAGUCCUCCCUGCCAUCGGUUGUCAUGCAUAAGAUUAGGGAAGAGGGGAAGGACUGGAUCCUCGCCGGUGCUAAAAAUCUGGCGGAACUUGUAGGCUGA